AAGUCGUAACAAGGUUUCCGUAGGUGAACCUGCGGAAGGAUCAUUGCAGCAGCAGUCUCUCGGGGGGUUCCAGAGCUGGCCCGCAUGGGCAUGUGCUCGCCUCCCGGUUUCCACGCUCACACACCUGUGCACUUUCGGUGGGGGGCGUCCUCUCCCUCUCGGGAUGGAUGUCCCUCCCGUCUUCCACACAAACGCCAGUUUUGUAAUGCAUGUCGCUUUUGAGCUCUACGGAGCCUCUAAAGAAACAACUUUCAACAACGGAUCUCUUGGCUUUC
rnacentral:misc_RNA from 1 species